rnacentral:guide_RNA from 1 species
AUAUAUACAAUACACGUCGGAUUAUCUGAACUGAGUAAUUGUGAUAU